AACGGGUAGACCUCCCACCCUUGUGUAUUUAUACUAUGUUGCUUUGGCGGGUUGCAUUUCUCCCAAGGAGGUGCUUCAGGGCUUGCUCGCCCGCCGAAGGAUACCUAAACUCUGUUUAUUAAUGUCGUCUGAGUACUAUAUAAUAGUUAA
rnacentral:rRNA from 1 species